UGGGGAAUUUUGGACAAUGGGCGCAAGCCUGAUCCAGCCAUGCCGCGUGCGGGAAGAAGGCCUUCGGGUUGUAAACCGCUUUUGUCAGGGAAGAAAUCUUCUGAGUUAAUACCUCGGGAGGAUGACGGUACCUGAAGAAUAAGCACCGGCUAACUACGUGCCAGCAGCCGCGGUAAUACGUAGGGUGCAAGCGUUAAUCGGAAUUACUGGGCGUAAAGCGUGCGCAGGCGGUUUUGUAAGACAGAGGUGAAAUCCCCGGGCUCAACCUGGGAACUGCCUUUGUGACUGCAAGGCUUGAGUGCGGCAGAGGGGGAUGGAAUUCCGCGUGUAGCAGUGAAAUGCGUAGAUAUGCGGAGGAACACCGAUGGCGAAGGCAAUCCCCUGGGCCUGCACUGACGCUCAUGCACGAAAGCGUGGGGAGCAAACAGGAUUAGAUACCCUGGUAGUCCACGCCCUAAACGAUGUUAACUGGUUGUUGGGAAGGUUCCUUCUCAGUAACGUAGCUAACGCGUGAAGUUGACCGCCUGGGGAGUACGGCCGCAAGGUUGAAACUUAAAUGAAUUGACGGGGUCAUAGCUGUUUCC
rnacentral:rRNA from 1 species